AAAUAAAUCAAACGAGGCCCAACGAAAUAAUGUAAUAGAGGCCCAUCUGAGUAAAAUAAAUAAGGCCCAACUGAAAUAAAUUAACCAAGGCCCAACUGAAAUAAAUUAAUCAAAGGCCCAUAUAAAUAAAUUCAGAGGCCCAAUCAGUAAUUAAAAUCGGCCCAUAUAAAUAAAAUCAGAGGCCCAAUUCAUAAUUUAGAUGUGAAGCCCAAGUCAUUAAAAAUAACAUCAAGCCCAGCUUAAAAUAAUUCGGCCCACAAUAAAUUAAAAGGAAAAGCCCAAUUUCCUUAAAAUAAACAAGCUCAAAUUCGGCCCAAACAAUAACUCAAGCCCAAAAUUAAAACGAGCCAAACUAAUAAAAUAAAAAAAUUCGAGCCCAAUGUAAUGGCCCAACACCCAAUUCUCUUCCCCCUUUUCCUUCCAAAUUCGGCUGAGCCCUUCUCUUUCUACCUCACGUUUCCUCCCCAUCUCUGUUCUCUUUCUUUCUCUCUGUUGGAGCCGCUCCCUUCGGUUCUCUCUCUCUUUCGAUCCGCCUCCAGCCGAGGUGUCGGCCGUCGAGGCUCCGGCGAGACCGCCUGACUCCUCUCACUUCGAG
rnacentral:lncRNA from 1 species